GAAUUGGUAGACACAAGGGAUUUAAAAUCCCUCGGCGUUCGCGCUGUGCCGGUUCAAGUCCGGCCCGGGGCACCA
rnacentral:tRNA from 1 species